ACGGAAGGCAGCAGUGGGGGAUAUUGCACAAUGGGGGAAACCCUGAUGCAGCGACGCCGCGUGAGUGAAGAAGUAUUUCGGUAUGUAAAGCUCUAUCAGCAGGAAAGAUAAUGACGGUACCUGACUAAGAAGCACCGGCUAAAUACGUGCCAGCAGCCGCGGUAAUACGUGUGGUGCAAGCGUUAUCCGGAUUUACUGGGUGUAAAGGGAGCGUAGACGGCAUGGCAAGCCAGAUGUGAAAGGCAGGGGCUCAACUCCUGGACUGCAUUUGGAACUGUCAAGCUAGAGUAUCGGAGAGGUAAGUGGAAUUCCUAGUGUAGCGGUGAAAUGCGUAGAUAUUAGGAGGAACACCAGUGGCGAAGGCGGCUUGCUGGACGAUAACUGACGUUGAGGCUCGAAAGCGUGGGGAGCAAACAGGAUUAGAUACCCUGGUA
rnacentral:rRNA from 1 species